rnacentral:rRNA from 1 species
CGGGUUGUAAAGCACUUUCAGUAGGGAGGAAGGUAGUGUAGUUAACACCUGCAUUAUUUGACGUUACCUACAGAAGAAGCACCGGCUAACUCCGUGCCAGCAGCCGCGGUAAUACGGAGGGUGCGAGCGUUAAUCGGAAUUACUGGGCGUAAAGCGCAUGCAGGCGGCCUGUUAAGUCAGAUGUGAAAGCCCGGGGCGUUAACCUCGGAAUUGCAUUUGAAACUGGCAGGCUAGAGUCUUGUAGAGGGGGGUAGGAAUUUCAGGUGUAGCGGUGAAAUGCGUAGAGAUCUGAAGGAAUACCAGUGGCGAAGGCGGCCCCCCUGGACAAAGACUGACGCUCAGAUGCGAAAGCGUGGGGAGCAAACAGGAUUAGAUACCCCUGGUAG